rnacentral:lncRNA from 1 species
CCCCCUGGUCUGGUUGAACCGGGUAUUCUUCGUGUUCAGCCAGCGAAGUAUUGUUAAAGCCAGCGCUGUGCUGUUUUCCUUAAUCCCUGCAAAUCAUGAAGACAUAAGAGUUUUAAUAUUAUAAGAAAGCAAAGAUAAGCAUUUUCCCCUUGACUUUGGAAUUGUAGUUCCAAGUUAGAUUUCCUUCUUGUUUGUUGAAUGUUGACAAAGAUAAAUAAUUUCCAUUUCUUUGGGCGCAUAAGAAGACCAGCGCUGAGAAUACCCCAUAUUGAAUACUUUGCAUAGAUAAGCAAUAUAAAUGCUUUGUGUUGGAUGAACCAGAAGACCGCUGCAAGAAUACCCGAAUAACAUAGGAAGACCCGUGUCGAAGUUGAGAAAUAUG